CGGAAUACCGUCAGGGUGGCCUAGCUCCGGAAUACCGUCAGGGUGGCCUAGCCCCGGAAUACCGUCAGGGUGGCCUAGCUCCGGAAUACCGUCAGGGUGGCCUCUCCUUCCGCAGACCGGUGUCCAGAGGGGCCAAACACCGCCGAUGUCCGAUCCUGGUCUCUCCUAAAAAGAAACAAAGGCUCCAAGAUAAUAAGCUCCAGAGCAGCUGGCUGUCUCGCUGGGGCCUCCAAGAACGUUGCACCCAGUGAGAGAGAACCAACCAGAGACCGAUAUUAAUCCACAUAGGAGUUUAUUACCGGCCGGGACCCGAGCUGAACAUCGGACUCGAGCCUCGACUGGGGGGAGAUUAACAUAUUUUAUACACCUUUGAGGCCAGCAGUUUCUAGGCCCCCUAUGGGAUAGAACUAGUAAAGCAAGCAAAAGGGAUCAAACUCAGGACCUUGUGCUGCACCGGAACCACUGAGCUAAAUCCCUGGCCAAGCUUCCUCCUUCUGAGUUCAUCUAAAGGGCAGGCAGGCCAGCGGAAUUGUGCUUACAGCCUCAAGAUUCAUUAGCAAAUUCUGUGAUUUGGAAUGUGUAUCAUGUGCUAGGCACUAAUAUCCCAUCUUCACGGGGGAAGAAAACACAGAAAAGCAAGUAUAUACUUAAUUUUUUUGUUUCAAUGUUGGAUACUAAGUUCAGAGACGAUACAUGCAACAAGGUAAGGUGGGUAAGAAGUAUGAGUGGUCAUAAGUGGGGCUUUACUGAAGAAGCAACAGUAGAUCUGAAGAAGCAAGAGCAUAAACAGUGCAGAUACCAAAGAUGAGAAGCGUCAUGAGGUUCUAAGGAAUUGAUAUUUAGAAAAUCUUAGAUUCGUGGACUGUGUUUCAUUUUGGGAUCCCUUGUGUAUGUUUUCUUAUUUUACGUUACUAAUGUUGUCUGGUGAAGCCUAAAGACUACUGCUUCAGUGUUAACACUCUGUGGCUGUGUACUGAUAGCAGUGGAAGGAAGUGGUCCAGAAGCCUGGAAAAGUGAUCUUGGAAUACGGUGGAUACAUCAGAAAAUAAUGUAGGUUCCAUGUUCAGUGACGUCUCAUUAUAAGCGUGAAACCAGCCCCGGAGGAAUAUUCACCCUGCAGAAACUGGCAGAUACUACAGAUAUACACACACACACACAAACUUCAAACCAAUAAGUAAGGAAUAAGGGUAGAAAUUACUGUUUCUUUUUUUGCUUGUUUUCUUUUUUUGGCUUUUGGGUGUGUGUGUGUGUGUGUGUGUGUGUGCGCGCGCUGAGGUUGAACCCAGGACCUCACAAGUGUUAGGCACACACUGUACCACUGAGCUACAUCUGCAGCCCCUUUUGUUAAUUAAACCUUUUGUUGUGUGAUAAUCAUAGAUUCCCAUACAGUUAAAAGAAAUGCAAAGAAAAAAAAAAAGAAAUGCAAAGAUACAGAAAAUCCAGUGCCUCUUUUACAGGGUUCACUCCAAUGGUGCCAUUUUGCAAAUCACAACCAGGAUACUGACAGGGGUACAGUCAAGUCCAGGACAUUUCCAUUGCCAUGGGGACCCUCCUAUUGCCCUUUAUAGCCAAACUCCCUUUCUCUCCCUUCCCCGAAUCCCCUUAGCUAAUGCCCAUUAAAUGGAAUCAUGCAGUCUGUAAUCCUUUGCAAUUGGCUUUUGUCACGCACCACGAGUAUCUGGAGACUCAUUCAAGUUGUUGUGUGUAUCAGUAAUUCAUUCUUUCUUAUUGCUGAGUCAUGCACCAUGGUAGAUGGCCCAUAGUUUUUUUAAUCAUUCACACGUUAAAGGCCAUCUGGGUUGCUUUCUUUCCAGUUUCUGGCUAUUACAGAUAAAACCAGACAGGCUUUUGUGUAUACGAGUCUCAUUUUCACAACUGGUCCUGAGGCCCUAGCUGGUAUUUAUGACUUUUCUCUUUCACUUUUUCCUCUACCUUAUUAAUAACUAACAUUAAUAGUAUUUAUUGCAUGCUGAGUGCUUUACAAGUAUCACUUAGUUCUCAUAAUUACCAUUUGAGAUAUGAAUUUUCACGCACCCCCAUAUUAACAGAUGUGGGAACUGAGGAUGAACGAG
rnacentral:lncRNA from 1 species